AACGAACGCUGGCGGCAUGCCUAACACAUGCAAGUCGAACGAGAGCACCGGAACUAGUGGCGCACGGGGGCGUCGCGCGUCGGAAGCGUCCCGUAUGCUUGGAAUAACUCUCCGACGGGGGUGCUAACACCGGAUAAUGUCUUCUAACCAAAGAUUUAUCGCAUUUGGUUGGGCCCGCGUUGGAUUAGCUAGUUGGGAGGGUAAAAGCCUACCAAGGCGACGAUCCAUAGCUGGGUAGAGGGGCUGGGCCGCCACUCUGAGAGGAAGACGCGGCCCAGACUCCUCCGGAAGGCGGCAGUGGGGAAUAUUGGACAACGGGGGAAGUCCUGAUCCACCAAUGCUGGGUGAGUGAUGAAGUCCUUAGGGUUGUAAAGCUCUUUUACCCGGGAUGAUAAUGACGGUACCGAGAGAAUAAGCUCCGGCUAACUCCGUG
rnacentral:rRNA from 1 species